AGAGUUUGAUCCUGGCUCAGAACGAACGCUGGCGGCGUGGAUAAGACAUGCAAGUCGAACGAGACUUUUCGUUGUAGCAAUACGAUGGAAAGUUUAGUGGCGAACGGGUGCUUAACACGUGGGCAACCUGCCAUGAAGUGGGGGAUAGCUCGCCGAAAGGCGAAUUAAUACCGCAUGUGAUUAGAGAGGACAUCCUUUCGAAAUUAAAGUCGGGGCAACCUGACGCUUCUUGUGGGGCCCGCGGCCUAUCAGCUAGUUGGUGAGGUAACGGCUCACCAAGGCUUUGACGGGUAGCUGGUCUGAGAGGACGACCAGCCACACUGGGACUGAGACACGGCCCAGACACCUACGGGUGGCAGCAGUCGAGAAUUUUUGACAAUGGGGGAAACCCUGAUCGAGCGACGCCGCGUGGAGGAUGAAGGUCUUCGGAUUGUAAACUCCUGUCAUUGGGGAACAAGGUGCACAUGUUAACUGUAUGUGCAUUGAUAGUACCCGAAGAGGAAGAGACGGCUAACUCUGUGCCAGCCGCCGCGGUAAUAC
rnacentral:rRNA from 1 species